GAUGAACGCUGGCGGCGUGCCUAAUACAUGCAAGUCGAGCGAACAGACGAGGAGCUUGCUCCUCUGACGUUAGCGGCGGACGGGUGAGUAACACGUGGAUAACCUACCUAUAAGACUGGGAUAACUUCGGGAAACCGGAGCUAAUACCGGAUAAUAUAUUGAACCGCAUGGUUCAAUAGUGAAAGACGGCUUUGCUGUCACUUAUAGAUGGAUCCGCGCCGCAUUAGCUAGUUGGUAAGGUAACGGCCUACCAAGGCGACGAUGCGUAGCCGACCUGAGAGGGUGGUCGGCCACACUGGAACUGAGCCACGGUCCAGACUCCUACGGGAGGCAGCAGUAGGGAAUCUUCCGCAGUGGGCGAAAGCCUGACGGAGCAACGCCGCGUGAGUGAUGAAGGUCUUCGGAUCGUAAAACUCUGUUAUUAGGGAAGAACAAAUGUGUAAGUAACUAUGCACGUCUUGACGGUACCUAAUCAGAAAGCCACGGCUAACUACGUG
rnacentral:rRNA from 1 species